UACAGAGGUCUCAAGCGUUGUUUCGGAUUCAUUGGGCGUAAAGGGUGUGUAGGUGGCGCGCUAAGUCGGGUGUGAAAUUUCGGAGCUUAACUCCGAACUGCAUUCGAUACUGGCGUGCUUGAGGACUGGAGAGGAGUACUGGGAAUUCGAUGGUGUAGCGGUGAAAUGCGCAGAUAUCAGGAAGAACACCCGUGGCUAAGGCGGCUCUCUAGUACGGUACUGACGCUGAGACGGCGAAAGCGUGGGGAGCGAACAGG
rnacentral:rRNA from 1 species